UUAUUUACUUGAUUUAGAUUCCAUACGUGGAUAACUGUGGCAAUUCUAGAGCUAAUACAUGCACCAAAGCUCCGACUCGUUGACGAGCGCAUCUAUUAGAAUAAAACCAAUCGAGACAGUGUCUCGUCCAUUUGGUGACUCUGAAUAGCUUAGCUGAUCGCAUGGUCACGCACCGGCGACGUAUCUAUCAAGUAUCUGCCUUAUCAACUUUCGAUGGUAGUUUAUAUGACUACCAUGGUUGUAACGGGUAACGGAGAAUAAGGGUUCGACUCCGGAGAGGGAGCCUGAGAAACGGCUACCACUUCCAAGGAAGGCAGCAGGCGCGCAAAUUACCCACUCUCAGCUCAGAGGAGGUAGUGACGAAAAAUAACGAGACCGUACUCGAUGAGGCCGGUUAUCGGAAUGGGUACAAUUUAAACCCGUUAACGAGGAUCUAUGAGAGGGCAAGUCUGGUGCCAGCAGCCGCGGUAAUUCCAGCUCUCAAAGUGUAUAUCGGCAUUGCUGCGGUUAAAAAGCUCGUAGUUGGAUUUCAGCCUUACGACGUGGUCCAUUCAUUGAAUGCGAACUACGCCUCGUAGGCUAUAUUGAUGUUGGUUUUUCCUUACGUUGCUCUAAUCGGCUGCGUAAGGUGGCUAACGAGUUUACCUUGAAAAAAUUAGAGUGCUCAACGCGGGCUAACGCCUGAAUACUCGUGCAUGGAAUAAUGGAAUAGGAUCUCGGUUCUAUUUUGUUGGUUUUCUGAUCUGAGAUAAUGGUUAAGAGGGACAGACGGGGGCAUUCGUAUCGCUGCG
rnacentral:rRNA from 1 species